rnacentral:rRNA from 1 species
CCUACGGGAUGCUGCAGUGGGGAAUAUUGCACAAUGGGGGAAACCCUGAUGCAGCGACGCCGCGUGAGUGAAGAAGUAUUUCGGUACGUAAAGCUCUAUCAGCAGGGAAGAAAAUGACGGUACCUGACUAAGAAGCCCCGGCUAACUACGUGCCAGCAGCCGCGGUAAUACGUAGGGGGCAAGCGUUAUACGGAUUUACUGGGUGUAAAGGGAGCGUAGACGGCAGUGCAAGUCUGGAGUGAAAUCCCAUGGCUUAACCAUGGAACUGCUUUGGAAACUGUGCAGCUAGAGUGCAGGAGAGGUAAGCGGAAUUCCUAGUGUAGCGGUGAAAUGCGUAGAUAUUAGGAGGAACACCAGUGGCGAAGGCGGCUUACUGGACUGUAACUGACGUUGAGGCUCGAAAGCGUGGGGAGCAAACAGGAUUAGAUACCCGUGUAGUC